GAUGAACGCUGGCGGCGUGCCUAAUACAUGCAAGUCGAGCGAACAGACGAGGAGCUUACUCCUCUGACGUUAGCGGCGGACGGGUGAGUAACACGUGGAUAACCUACCUAUAAGACUGGGAUAACUUCGGGAAACCGGAGCUAAUACCGGAUAACAUGUUGAACCGCAUGGUUCAACAGUGAAAGACGGUCUUGCUGUCACUUAUAGAUGGAUCCGCGUCGCAUUAGCUAGUUGGUAAGGUAACGGCUUACCAAGGCAACGAUGCGUAGCCGACCUGAGAGGGUGAUCGGCCACACUGGAACUGAGACACGGUCCAGACUCCUACGGGAGGCAGCAGUAGGGAAUCUUCCGCAAUGGGCGAAAGCCUGACGGAGCAACGCCGCGUGAGUGAAGAAGGUCUUCGGAUCGUAAAACUCUGUUAUUAGGGAAGAACAAAUGCGUAAGUAACUAUGCACGUCUUGACGGUACCUAAACAGAAAGCCACGGCUAACUACGUG
rnacentral:rRNA from 1 species